GAAUUUGGCCGACACCUGCCGUGAGAGGGAUCGAAUGGGCUCUCACAGGACACACUCUUUCAGCCACUGGUCCAAAUAGUUGUUGCAACAGGUGUAUGAGGCGUUGGAGGCAGCUCUGAUUUUUAACAAUUAGCGUGAAAUUCCUCCUUCGUACGCUAGUCGACUUAAAUCGUGUUAUGUGUGAAAAGGCCCUAAAGGAUGAAUGAAAAUAAUUAGUUGAAGGCCUAAUGCCACCUCACACACAGUGUGUGCUGGGAUAGGCUCCAUCCUCUGCAAAUAUUGCAAUGCAUGCCAUUUACAGUGGGCGGGGCUUUGGCAGAAAUAUGACUGCUUUUAUAGUUAUU